rnacentral:rRNA from 1 species
CGCAGCCUGAUCAGCAAUGCCGCGUGCAAGAUGAAGGCCUUCGGGUUGUAAACUGCUUUUGUCACGGAAGAAAUCCUUUGGGCUAAUACCUCGGAGGGAUGACGGUACCUGAAGAAUAAGCACCGGCUAACUACGUGCCAGCAGCCGCGGUAAUACUUACGGUGCGAGCGUUAAUCGGAAUUACUGGGCGUAAAGCGUGCGCAGGCGGCUUUGCAAGACAGAGGUGAAAUCCCCGGGCUCAACCUGGGAACUGCCUUUGUGACUGCAAGGCUAGAGUACGGCAGAGGGGGAUGGAAUUCCGCGUGUAGCAGUGAAAUGCGUAGAUAUGCGGAGGAACACCGAUGGCGAAGGCAAUCCCCUGGGCCUGUACUGACGCUCAUGCACGAAAGCGUGGGGAGCAAACAGGAUUAGAUACCCUGGUAGUCCACGCCCUAAACGAUGUCAACUGGUUGUUGGACGGCUUGCUGUUCAGUAACGAAGCUAACGCGUGAAGUUGACCGCCUGGGGAGUACGGCCGCAAGGUUGAAACUCA